UCGAGUGAGGUUCGUGUUGUCAGACUGCUGGCGUUUGAAGACAGAUUACUUCACUGAAACAAUAUUGAAUGAUGGGUUUCAGCGUGCUCUUCAUCUUCGCUCUGAUACACUUCUCCACACUGUAUGAUGGGGGGAACUCAGAGGAUCUCUCCAACACUGACUCUUCUAACCAUCAUGAUUGCCUUGAUCCUCGUG